UGAGGAAUAUUGCGCAAUGGGGGCAACCCUGACGCAGCGAUGCCGCGUGGGUGACGAAGGUCUUCGGAUCGUAAAGCCCUGUCAGGUGGGAAGAAUAGCUUGGGGGACAAUACCCUCCAGGUGUGACGGUACCACCGAAGGAAGCACCGGCUAACUCCGUGCCAGCAGCCGCGGUAAGACGGAGGGUGCAAGCGUUAUUCGGAAUCAUUGGGCGUAAAGGGCGUGCAGGCGGCCGAUCAAGUCAGGGGUGAAAGCCCGGGGCUCAACCCCGGAAGUGCCUCUGAUACUGGUCGGCUUGAGUCCGGGAGAGGGAAGCGGAAUUCCGGGUGUAGAGGUGAAAUUCGUAGAUAUCCGGAGGAACACCGGUGGCGAAGGCGGCUUCCUGGACCGAGACUGACGCUGAGACGCGAAAGCGUGGGGAGCAAACAGG
rnacentral:rRNA from 1 species